GAUGAACGCUAGCGGCAGGCCUAAUACAUGCAAGUCGAGGGGUAGUGGUUGCUUGCAGCCAUGAGACCGGCGCACGGGUGCGUAACGCGUAUGCAACCUACCUUCAUCUGGGGGAUAGCCCGGAGAAAUCCGGAUUAAUACCGCAUAAAAUCACAGUACGGCAUCGUACAAUGAUCAAACAUUUAUGGGAUGGAGAUGGGCAUGCGUGUCAUUAGUUAGUUGGCGGGGUAACGUGCCCACCAAGACCGCGAUGACUAGGGGAUCUGAGAGGAUGCCCCCCCACACUGGUACUGAGACACGGACCAGACUCCUACGGGAGGUAGCAGUAAGGAAUAUUGGUCAAUGAGCGCAAGCCUGAACCAGCCAUGCCGCGUGCAGGAAGACGGCCCUCUGGGUUGUAAACUGCUUUUAUUCGGGAAUAAACCUGCUUACGUGUAAGUAGCUGAAUGUACCGAAGGAAUAAGGAUCGGCUAACUCCGUGCCAGCAGCCGCGGUAAUAC
rnacentral:rRNA from 1 species